CCUACGGGGCGCUGCAGUGGGGAAUAUUGGACAAUGGGCGAAAGCCUGAUCCAGCCAUGCCGCGUGUGUGAAGAAGGCCUUCGGGUUGUAAAGCACUUUCAGUGGGGAAGAAAGCCUUGGGGCUAAUACCCUCGAGGAAGGACAUCACCUACAGAAGAAGCACCGGCUAACUCCGUGCCAGCAGCCGCGGUAAUACGGAGGGUGCGAGCGUUAAUCGGAAUUACUGGGCGUAAAGCGCGCGUAGGCGGUCUGAUAAGCCGGUUGUGAAAGCCCCGGGCUCAACCUGGGAACGGCAUCCGGAACUGUCAGGCUAGAGUGCAGGAGAGGAAGGUAGAAUUCCCGGUGUAGCGGUGAAAUGCGUAGAGAUCGGGAGGAAUACCAGUGGCGAAGGCGGCCUUCUGGACUGACACUGACGCUGAGGUGCGAAAGCGUGGGUAGCAAACAGGAUUAGAUACCCGAGUAGUC
rnacentral:rRNA from 1 species